AUUUUUCAAUGCCCUGGCUAAGGGAAAGAGGUUCUCAUUAUUUGAUGCAGUGCAGUUGUCCUGUCCCCUUAGCAGAAAAAUACCCCCAAAGCAUAAUGGGGUCAUAAGCAGCAUUCCUUCUCCUCAAAACACGGUGAGUUGAGUUAAUGCCAAAGAGCUAGAUUUUGGUCUCAUCUGAAUUCAAACACUUUCACCCAGUUCUCCUCUAAAUCAUUGAGAUGUUCAUUGGCAAACAGACGGGCCUGUACAUAUGCUUUCUUGAGCAGGGGAACCUUGUGGGCGCUGCGGGAUUUCAGUUUCUUUAUGGCG